CCUACGGGAGGCAGCAGUGGGGAAUAUUGCACAAUGGGGGAAACCCUGAUGCAGCGACGCCGCGUGAGCGAUGAAUUAUUUCGGUAUGUAAAGCUCUAUCAGCAGGGAAGAAAAUGACGGUACCUGCCUAAGAAGCCCCGGCUAACUACGUGCCAGCAGCCGCGGUAAUACGUAGGGGGCAAGCGUUAUCCGGAUUUACUGGGGGGAAAGGGGGCGUAGACGGCGGUGCAAGCCAGAUGUGAAAGCCCGGGGCUCAACCCCCGGACUGCAUUUGGAACUGUGCUGCUAGAGUGUCGGAGAGGCAGGCGGAAUGCCUAGUGUAGCGGUGAAAUGCGUAGAUAUUAGGAGGAACACCAGUGGCGAAGGCGGCCUGCUGGACGAUGACUGACGUUGAGGCUCGAAAGCGUGGGGAGCAAACAGGAUUAGAUACCCCGGUAGUC
rnacentral:rRNA from 1 species